UGGGGAAUUUUGGACAAUGGGCGAAAGCCUGAUCCAGCAAUGCCGCGUGUGUGAAGAAGGCCUUCGGGUUGUAAAGCACUUUUGUCCGGAAAGAAAUCCUUGGCUCUAAUACAGUCGGGGGAUGACGGUACCGGAAGAAUAAGCACCGGCUAACUACGUGCCAGCAGCCGCGGUAAUACGUAGGGUGCAAGCGUUAAUCGGAAUUACUGGGCGUAAAGCGUGCGCAGGCGGUUUGCUAAGACCGAUGUGAAAUCCCCGGGCUCAACCUGGGAACUGCAUUGGUGACUGGCAGGCUAGAGUAUGGCAGAGGGGGGUAGAAUUCCACGUGUAGCAGUGAAAAUGCGUAGAGAUGUGGAGGAAUACCGAUGGCGAAGGCAGCCCCCUGGGCCAAUACUGACGCUCAUGCACGAAAGCGUGGGGAGCAAACAGGAUUAGAUACCCUGGUAGUCCACGCCCUAAACGAUGUCAACUAGUUGUUGGGGAUUCAUUUCCUUAGUAACGUAGCUAACGCGUGAAGUUGACCGCCUGGGGAGUACGGUCGCAAGAUUAAAACUUAAAUGAAUUGA
rnacentral:rRNA from 1 species